AACGCACAUUGCGCCCAUUGGUAUUCCGAUGGGCAUGCCUGUUCGAGCGUCAUUAUCCUCCUUCAAACCUUGGGUUUGGUGUUGGACCGAAGUUGGUUGGCUCAACCAACUGGUCUCAAAGAUAAUGACGGCUCCGUGGGGACCCUCUUCGCAACGAGCUUUCCGGAGCACGCGUCGAGUCUCAAGGACCCCCCGGACCGGUCGCACCUGUCGAGACGGCACCCCCGUCUCGCUCUUGUAAGGUUGACCUCGGAUCAGGUAGGAAUACCCGCUGAACUUAA
rnacentral:misc_RNA from 1 species